rnacentral:lncRNA from 1 species
CCAGCCCCCCGCUCCGGAUUGGUCCUUCGGGAAACGCUGCGGGGCGCCUCGGUUCCCGCGGCAGAGCCCGGGCCGGCGCUGGCGGGCUGGAUUUGCCGGGGCCGCUGUCGGUCAGGUCGGCGCCCCUGACAGCUGCAGGAGCCUCCCAAGCGCGGCCGCGGCGCCCGGACACCCACGCCCGCCUGCGCCGCUGCAGCGCCCACCACCCCGAGCGCCCGCAGCCGAGCCCAGAGCCGGGCUCGCGACCUAGGCAAGAUUUUGAUUUCCUCAACUUUUCAUGUCUCAGAACAUGGAAUCAUCUACUGAGCACUUCCUGCUUUGGCUGACUGAUGGAAAUGUUGAACAAGAUUCCUCCCAGUUUCAUGCCCAGGACAACUCAUUGCCUUGUUGGAAAGUUGCUUAAAACUCUACCCUUCUG